AACGGCGCUAACGUCAAGAAGGGUUAUCUCGCUCUAAGCGCCGAGAAUUCUCGAUGGCUUCUUGCCAUUCUUUCCGCGCGGCCUUCUUAUUAAACGCUCGGGAGAUUACUUUCUCCAAGGCUACCUACUUGUUAGCACUUCACUUUCUAGCUUUCCUUUAUUAUUCUUUCUUGUACAGCAUACACUUAUCACAAGUCAAGUCAUCAUUAUUAGUCAGGGGAUCACUACAAUAUUAGGCGCUUGCGAAAUCAAAUGAUGGAUUGCGGCCGAUUAUAUAUUCUUUCAAUUGUGAAGGUGUGAAGAGGCUUCGGCUUCUAAUUGACUUGGACAAGGAAACAAAGCAUGGGCGAAGAGCAUUUGGUCGUUCUUGGUACAAGCCGAAUAUACGAAUGGGGGCGAGGAGGACGGACAACACUGCCUCUUCGGAGAUAAUGCUCAUCCCUACUCUCGGUAAAAUCCAAACGACCCACUCAAUUGGUCCAAAGGCAGAAAGUACUUGAUGCUCGCUUGUGUUUCUCUUAUACUAUAUCGGCCAUCAUCCCAUCUUUAUUCCGUCUUUGAUCCCCCUUCCGCGUCUACCGGUCUUUGUCUUGAUCAACUCAAUGUCGGUACCCGACCGGUUUGAUGGCUAUCGUUCGCGCUGUGCUCUUCUUUUUCCUCGAAGAGCCCUCUUUCCAACGUGAACACCUUAAAAUGUCCACGAAGAGAGCAACAGAUCCGUAACCUCCAUCGACCUAUCUCUGAGGCCUUCGAAUGCUUCCAACUUAUCAGACCAACAAAUGAACAUGGUAUUCAGGCAUGUGCUCAAGAUGCGGCGACAUAUUUGCUUUCGACUAUCUUAUUAGCGAUGUGUUUUACGUUUGGUUUUAAUUACUCAAUCACAGCAUGGCGUUUCGGAUGGGGUUUGAGGAAUUCCGCCAUCUCUUCCACGAUUAUCAUCACGGCGAUCAACACGACGGGUUUUGUAGUUGUCAAAUGGGGAAAGAAGAUGAGAAAAACUCAACAAGCCUAUUACAGAAAAGUUAUCCAUUUGUAGCAUAAGGAUUGUCAGUACACUGAUUAUACAUAAGUUAUCGAUGCGCGUAUUCCUCUCUCUCGAAAUGUUGCGAAAAGGAGAGUGAUGAUGUCAAAUGCUGUAUGCGAAU
rnacentral:sRNA from 1 species